UUAACUAAAAUUUGUAUGGAGUAGUAGUGGUGCCUACGUUUGCCGCUAGGGGCGCUGUUCCAACUCCAUACAUAUUUCAGUUA
rnacentral:pre_miRNA from 1 species